UCCAUUGGAUUAUGUUUGGGUGAGUUCUUCGUUCAUAGUUGCGCUCCUCCCGACUUCGAUUCCCUGUUCGAACACAAACCCAAACCUUUUCAUCUCCUUCCCCAAAUCAACACGAUCAUCCAUUAAUUUUAAUUCGCGCCCAAGUCCUUAGAACGCUCGAACCCAGUUUGGGUUCGAUAUUCCCGCCGACUUUCAAAGGUUUUCCGGUGGCGGCUGGCCCUGCAACCAAAACUAUUUGACUCAGACAGUCCCAACAACAACAUGUGAGCUUUGCAUGCUCGAAUCUACCCGUCGAUCAAAGAUUUCCAUAAGUCCACCUUGCGGUGGGUUUUUUCGACGAGGAUCGGAAUCUUUUUCGGCCAAUUUCAGGCCUUUGAGACCUUUUUUGGGUCCAGCCAAGGAUGAUCAUGAAUGAAUGGUACUCUUCUGCAAUGGCGGGAUUUGUUAUCUGUGGGGCAACUGAUUGGUUAAGUUAUUUCGAAGCGUUUUUCAUAGAAAUUGAUUUAUGCUGGACAUAGUUGCAUGAUUCAUAAUGAUUAGGCUUGAAUCAGAUUCUGUAAAUCAAUUUUGGUGGAGGAGUUGUUCCGUAGCCUGAGGAAGAACAUAGCAAUGUUUUUGAAACAAGGUCUGGCCGAAAUUUUUCUAUAAAAUUUCACAAUUUUUGAGUUUUAAGCCAUUCAAAUUGGUUUGUUAAGUAGGAAUAAAAAUACCAAUUAAUUAAAGAUUAGUAAUUUUCUCAAGAACUAAUUACUAACCAAAUUCACAUCUGCCUGUAUUAAUCUAUUAAGUAGGUUAUCUAUUGAUUUUUUUUUUUUUAGUGAUUUUGUGUACAGAGUGCUGUGUUGGAACCAACAAUGUUGUAUAGUCUAAUUAUUGUCCCUUAAUAUGAUUGAAUUUUAAUUAGUUGUAUGUAUAUCCAGAACUAAUGAAAGUAUUCAAAACUCUGAAUUUGUAGCUCUCAAAGUCCUCAGACCCAAAUUCCUCAACUUUUCCUCAAACCCACAACUUUGGCUUUGACCGUUCUUUCUCCUCCUUGGGUUCUAUUUUCGUCUCUGAUCCCUCGAGUAAGCAGUCAUUGCGGCCAGUUUUCAUGGUCGGCUUGGAUCUUUUAAGUUUGAUUGAUAAGGAUUAGUGAAAUAGUUUACACUAAACAUGAUUUGAUUAUAUCUUUCCUCUUAAGUUUAUUAUGCAGCUCCUUUUAUAGGCAAUGCUUCCCCUUAGUUCUGUUUAUUGGGUUCCUUUUGAAUAUCUUUUAUGAUGUCCAGCUUUCUCACUGUACAUUUGGUACCUGAGUAUUGGAUGUUAGCUUAGAGAUUUUGAAAUACCAAUGUUUUUUAGUUAUCGUAUUAUUUUGACCGUAUUAUUUGCUUUUUAUGACCUAAAAAAACAGUAAUGAAUGAUAAGAUGGGUUUUGAUUUAUAUAUGCAAAGUGUCUGUAACUGCUGCUUAUGAUAAUUUUGUUGGGGAUCCUAUUACUAUGCACUAGCUUGGCGCCAAUGAGUUUUUUUAUUUGAUUUGAGAGAAAUUGAGGAAUGAGAAAUUGUUUUUUGCUUAUGCUUUUUUUAGGUGCGUACUAAAUUGAAUGGCUAAUACAAAAUGUGAACCAAUCUUACUUUUUAAUUUUUGUGUGCCUGCAAAUCAUAUGCAAUUUAGAUUCAUUCAAUUCUUAAGUGAUCGAGUUCUAUUUUUAAUUUUUUUUGUAUUUUUUUUCAAUUCAUCGUUAUCGUACAAGACAAAGGAGACAUCAUUAACGACGCAUAUGGGUGUCUUUAGUGGAACAAAUCUUACCUUUUGAGCUUUGUACAGUUUUAAACGUUAUAGUCUCCCUGGGAAUAGGACCAUAGCUUUUGAAGAACAAUCCAUGAGGAUGACAUACUAACAUCCUCCAUUUUUGGCAUGUAAUAUAUGAUUGUAAAUAGUACUCUCUAGCUAUGGUGUACUACCAUCCCAAUUUUUGUCAUGUAAUAUAUGAAUGUAAAUAGUACUUUGGUUA